rnacentral:rRNA from 1 species
UACGAAGGUGGCAAGCGUUGUUCGGAUUCACUGGGCGUACAGGGUGUGUAGGCGGUUUGGUAAGCCUUCUGUUAAAGCUUCGGGCCCAACCCGGAAAGCGCAGAGGGUACUGCCAGGCUAGAGGACGGGAGAGGAGCGCGGAAUUCCCGGUGUAGCGGUGAAAUGCGUAGAGAUCGGGAAGAACAUCGGUGGCGAAAGCGCUCUACUGGACUGCAACUGACACUCAGGGACGAAAGCUAGGGGAGCGAAUGGG